UUUGGUCUUAUUACUUCUUUUAUGUAAUCUUGAGAAGUAAAGUUGUUUAAAGAUGGAUCGCUAACUGUAUUAUAUAGAAUAUCUGUUAUUGUGGGUAGAUGAUAACUUCCCAGGGGAUCAUCAUGAACUGUCCAGUUACAAUUAAGAGCUAUAGAAGGACUAACUAUUGUCAAAUCUAAACCAUUUGGUCUCCAGAUAUUUGUUCCUACUGUGGUUGGUGAAGUGUCAUUUAAUAAAACUAAAUUGCAAUCAUUUAUAGAGGACAUCUCUUCCACGAGCACUGACGGAUUGACAGCCCCAAAUGGUGUGAUGAGCAUUAAAAUCGCCUGAUACAAAACAUGGUUUAGAUGGAGCAGCGUUCCGAGUUCUUACAAAACUUUGCUAAAUGGCCAUACCUGAGACACCGGAAACAUUGCUUGACUGGAGGAACAUACGCUGAAAUAUCAUGCCGCCACCCGUCCAAGUCGACGUAGUCUGGAAGUACUGACGUCGCGAAGGUGAUGGCUACAGUCUGCAGGGGCUGUAGAAUAAAAUUGUUGUCAAUCUU